UAAAAAGGAAAUGUAAUUGCAUAAUCUUUCAAAUGCUCAGACACACAGAUUGUGGUGGUAAAGUAUGUGAGUGCAUAGUGAGAAAACAAGUGGCUAAAUGGGACAUUUUUAAGGAAAGUAUCUUUUAAGUCUACUGAAGUUGACUGCAGCAGUUUUGGUGAUACAUGUCCUGAGCCUAACAGGAACAGUAAAAUGAAGCAGAAUCCCCCUUCAAAAAUCUUUCUUCAUUCUCUUGAAUGAUACUAACAGCAGUAGCAUUAGGGACAUCUUCAUAUAUUUAGGCAGAGCCUGGAUGCUUUCUGGAAUGGAUUAUGUUCAGAGGUGACUGCAUGGUUGCCUGUGUAUCUUCCUCUGACUAGUGGAGUUGUUCUUCCAGGAAAAAUCAUUAUGGGAAGUGCAGGAGGAUUCAGGGUGGAAGGGAAAUCUGGAGAUCACCUGUUCAAAACCUUGCUAAUUUUCUCCUGUGCAGUAGUCUUCCUACUGUAACCGUGUUUUGCCUUCCAGUUGUCCCUUUACCAGUAAGGCUGAUUGAAGAAGUCAUUGGGCUCAGAUAUUCCCCCCGUGCAGCUGCACUGGAGACCAAAUGCUGCAGUGGGGAAUGAGGAGUAAAACAGUAAAAACCUUUAGAAAAGAGUAAUUGUUUUUGGUGAUGUGUAACAGAUCUUUUCUGUUCAGAGCAGAGUGAAAAGCAAACUCUAGAGCAACGCCUGUUGCAAAAUACUGAGCUGCCUGCAAAGACAUAAUAUUUUGUCCCCUUCAGGAACCAGAAGGCUGCUGUAAGGUCUUGCUGGAGCCUUCUCUUCUCCAGGCUGAGCACCCCCCAAAUCUCAGCCUGUCUUCAUAGGAGAGGUGCUCCAGCCCUCUGACACCAUCUUCAUGGCCCUCCUCUGGACUUGCUCCAGCAAGUCCAUAUCCAUCUUUUGUUGGAGGCCCCAGAGCUGGAUGCAGUUCUCCAGUAGGACCUGUAAGUCACUCUGCCAGAAGCCAGGAGAAGGUUUAAAUACCCUCCUUGUCCUUUUGUGUUGUGGGAUCUCUGAGAGCAGACACAUGCAAACUGGCAGUGCAGGACAGUCUGCUCUCAGGAGGAGUGAUGGCAUAUGAAAGGUCAGUAUGUGCUUAGGGUCAUGCUUUGUCACUGUAUACAGGAGUGUGCAAGGUGUUGCAAAUCUUUGAGGGGAGGUGGGAAAAUCAGCAAUUUGUGAAACCAGUGUCAAAACUGAAUUGACCAUAAGAUUGUGAUUAACUAUCUUUAAUGGUUAUUUUAGACUGCAGAUUUUUUUCCUGAACAGAAAUUGUUGUUUGUUAGCUAUAAUUUUGUAACCCUUCUUUUAAAACAGAUGUUCCUUAAAGAAAUCUUAUUAGGAAAAGCUUUUUAUGCUCAUUUUGGCCUCAUCCUUGAAUUGCCAUCUGGGUUUUA